rnacentral:lncRNA from 1 species
UGGCCCUAGCCCCACAGUGGCCCUGUCCCUGCUAGUGGCCACCUCCUCGAUGGCCACCCACGGUGGCCCUGCUGGUGGCCGUCCCCGUGGUGGCCCUGCCUGUGACUGUCCCCAUGGUGGUCCUGACCAGGCUCUUGGUGGCCCUGGUGGUCCCUUUGGUGGUCCUGGCAGUGGCCUUGGCCACCUCAGUGGUGGCCUUGGUGGCCCCAGCAGCAGCUGUCCCUGUGGUGGCGGUGGCCAUCCCCACGGUGGCCUUGGUGGCCCUGGCCACCUCCUGCCUCUUCCGGUGGUGGCCCUGGCUGUUCCUGGUGGUGGCCUCUGUGGUGGCCCCUGUGGCAGUGCCUGUGGUGGCCUUGGUGGCCCUGGCCACCUCCUGACCCUUCCUGUGGUGGCCCUGCCCAUCUUGAUGGUGGCCCUGCUCAUCCCCUUGGUGGCCCUGCUCAUCCCCAUGGUGGCCUUGGUGGCCCUGGCCACCUCCUGGCCCUUCCUGUGGUGGCCCUGCCCGUCCUGGUGGUGGCCCUUGGCCAUCCUCAUAGUGGCCCUGGGGUGGCCUUGGUGGCCCUGGCCAUCUCCUGACCCUUCCUGUGGUGGUCCUGUCCGUCCUGGUGGUGGCCCUGCUCAUCCCCUUGGUGGCCUUGGUGGCCCUGACCAUUCCUGGUGGUGGCCCCGCUCAUCCCCUUGGUGGCCCUGCUCAUCCCCUUGGUGGCCUUGGUGGCCCUCGCCAUCU